rnacentral:rRNA from 1 species
ACUGCAGUCGAACGGGCUGUUUAUGCAGCCAGUGGCGGACGGGUGAGUAACACGUAGGUGACCUACCCCAAAGUCUGGGACAACUAGGAGAAAUCUUAGCUAAUCCUGGAUGUGGACAUCUACUUUGGUGGAUGUUUAAAGCUUCGGCGCUUUGGGAUGGGCCUGCGGCGCAUCAGGUAGUUGGUGGGGUAAUGGCCUACCAAGCCGACGACGCGUAGCUGGUCUGAGAGGACGAUCAGCCACAGGGGUACUGAGACACGGACCCCACUCCUACGGGAGGCAGCAGUUAGGAAUCUUCCGCAAUGGGCGAAAGCCUGACGGAGCGAUACCGCUUGAAGGACGAAGCCCUUCGGGGUGUAAACUUCUGAACUCGGGACGAUAAUGACGGUACCGAGGUAAUAGCACCGGCUAACUCCGUGCCAGCAGCCGCGGUAAUACGGAGGGUGCGAGCGUUACCCGGAUUUACUGGGUGUAAAGGGCGUGUAGGCGGUCUCUCAAGUCCGAUGCUAAAGACCGAAGCUCAACUUCGGGGGUGCGUUGGAUACUGUGAGGCUAGACGGUCGGAGAGGGUAGCGGAAUUUCCGGAGUAGCGGUGAAAUGCGCAGAUACCGGAAGGAACGCCAAUAGCGAAAGCAGCUACCUGGACGAUUUGUGACGCUGAGGCGCGAAAGCGUGGGGAGCAAACCGGAUUAGAUACCCGGGUAGUCCACGCCCUAAACGAUGAGUGCUGGGUGUCCGACAUCUGUUGGGUGCCGUAGCUAACGCGUUAAGCACUCCACCUGGGAAGUACGGUCGCAAGACUGAAACUCAAAGGAAUUGACGGGGGCCCGCACAAGCGGUGGAGCAUGUGGUUUAAUUCGAAGCAACGCGCAGAACC